CUACGGGAGGCAGCAGUGGGGAAUAUUGGACAAUGGGCGCAAGCCUGAUCCAGCAAUGCCGCGUGGGUGAAGACGCCUUUCGGGGUGUAAACCGCUUUUCUGCAUGAAGAGGAAGGACGGUAGUGCAGGAAUAAGUCACGGCUAACUACGUGCCAGCAGCCGCGGUAAUACGUAGGUGGCGAACGUUAUCCGGAAUCACUGGGCGUAAAGGGUCCGCAGGUGGCAUGUCAAGUCGAUUGUGAAAGCUCCCGGCUCAACUGGGAGAGGACGGUCGAAACUGGCAAACUAGAGUCCGACAGGGGGCGGCGGAAUUCCCGGUGGAGGGGUGGAAAGCGUAGAUAACGGGAGGAACGCCAAAAGCGAAAGCAGCCGGCUGGGUCGAGACUGACACUGAGGGACGAAAGCGUGGGUAGCGAACAGGAUUAGAAACCCGGGUAGUCC
rnacentral:rRNA from 1 species